rnacentral:rRNA from 1 species
UACGGGGGGGGCAAGCGUUGUUCGGAAUUACUGGGCGUAAAGGGCGCGUAGGCGGUCAGACCAAGUCGAGUGUGAAAUUCCAGGGCUUAACUCUGGCACGCUCGCUCGAUACUGGUCGGCUAGAGUGUGGAAGAGGAUGCUGGAAUUCCCGGUGUAGCGGUGAAAUGCGUAGAUAUCGAGAGGAACACCAGUGGCGAAGGCGAGUCCCUGGACAUCUCCUGACACUGAGGCACGAAAGCUAGGGGAGCAAACAGG